rnacentral:lncRNA from 1 species
GCAGGAGGUGAGUUUCAUUGUUAUGUUCUGUCAAGCUUUCUGCAAUUAUGCAUUUGCUACUAUAAAACCCUGAAAUGUUCAAAUACCUUUGAAAUACAAAACUAGAAAUAUCUAGGAAUGUUUUGAUUCCAAGUUUGUUGACGAGUGCAACAGACAGAGCAUCAACAUAUUUUACUCUGUCCCAAAGCAUACAAAGUAGUAUUUCGUACUACCUCUGUCCCAUAUUAAUUGUCAUUGAAAUGGUAUCAAGAUGUAUUUCAGUGUUAGUUACAUCCGUUUCAAUGACAACUAGUAUGGGACGGAGGGAGUACAUCGUAUGCUUGAGGAAAAAACAUAUUUGUACAAAUCUCUGUCCCAAAGUCAGAGAUUUUCUAAUGCUAGGAUCAUAACUGGCUACAAUGCUGAAGUGGACUGACAAAUUGAAAUGUGGUAUGUAGGUUACAUCAAGGAAAGAUCAGAGACAAUACUGGAUACACAGUGACGAGACAUACCAAUAUGUUCCUGUUAAAAACUUUGCAGAGGCAUUUCAAUCUUUCCAUGUUGGUCAGGCUAUAAGAAGUGAGUUGGCUGUCCCAUUUAACAAGAGCAGGAGCCAUCCUGCUGCCCUGAAAACAUCAAAAUAUGGUGCCAGCAUGAAAGAACUGCUUAAAGCUAACAUCAACAGAGAGAUGUUGCUCAUGAGAAGAAACUCCUUUGUGUAUAUAUUCAAGGCAACUCAGGUGAUUCCAAAAAACUAAAUUUUAUUUUCAGUAUGAUUAUAAUCUGCAGAAGUUCGAAGUUAAAAGUAUCUUAUCAUGCUAUAUCUCUUUAUUGUUCAGUUGACGCUUAUGGCAAUCAUUACAAUGACGGUCUUUCUUCGGACAAAUAUGCAUCAUGACUCGAUAACAAACGGAGGGAUAUACAUGGGUGCACUGUUCUUUGGGAUCGUGAUGAUCAUGUUCAAUGGGUUGGCAGAAGUGGGCCUAACUGUUGCAAAGCUCCCUGUGUUCUUCAAACAAAGGGAUCUCCUUUUCUUUCCAGCAUGGACGUACUCCUUGCCCUCAUGGAUCAUUAAAACACCCCUCUCCUUGCUGAAUGCAUCAAUAUGGGUCUUCAUAACAUACUACGUCAUCGGAUUUGAUCCCAAUGUAGAGAGGUAAGGAAACUAAUAUUGCUACCAUAAUUUUUUUUAUGAAUGUUUUGCAGAAGCUAACAAAAGUAAUGAAUUACUGCAGACUUUUUAUGCAGUUCCUGCUCCUGUUAGUAAUGAGUGAGACAGCAUCUGGCCUCUUCCGCUUCAUUGCUGGUCUUGCAAGGAAUCAAAUUGUUGCAAACACCAUUGGUUCAUUCUUCUUACUAAUCUGUAUGCUUACAGGCGGAUUCGUCCUGUCAAGAGGUAUGCAAUAAUACCAGCCUAAAACACCAUGUUUGAGAUAGCAAGCAAAGAAUGCUUCGAUCAAAUUGCCUAAGUGCAGUUGCUAUUGGCACAUUAAAUGUGAUGCUUUGUAUGAGAAUUGGAAAUUAAACUGUUGCUUUGUUUUAACAGAGAAUGUGAAGAAAUGGUGGAUAUGGGGGUACUGGAUAUCACCGCUGAUGUAUGCACAAAAUGCCAUAUCAGUAAAUGAAUUCCUAGGUGACAGCUGGAACAAGGUAAGGACUUCAUAAAUUAUUCAGAAAUGAAUAAAUAAUCAUCUAACUGAAAAUGGUAGAUUAAAUCAUAUUAUUACUGCUAUAUUACAGACAAUCCCCGGUUUCAAAGAAUCACUUGGAAGACUAGUUCUGGAAUCUCGUGGAAUGUUUACUGAGGCAAAAUGGUAUUGGAUUGGUGUUGGUGCAUUGCUCGGAUAUGUGCUGCUAUUCAAUGCCCUCUACACCAUCUGCCUAACAUUUCUCAAACGUGAGUUACAAUAACUUGUAUUUAGGUCCCAAUAGAAAGGGUCCUUACAAUUGGAGGUCUAUUUUUAAUCUUAUACAUUUUGCUCUGCAGCAUUUGACAGCAGUCAGCAAACAAUAUCUGAGGAAACGAUGAAGAUAAAACAGGCUAAUUUAACUGGUGAAAUCCUGGAAGAAACAUCAGGAGAGCAUAAAAAUACAACAACACUCGGUAAAGCACUUGUUUUUACAUUCAUCAAUCAAAAUAUGAUAUGCAAUAUAAUGGAUUUAAAAUUAAUCCCAUGAUUAUGUCCAUCAGAUACUGCAGAUGAGAGCAACGGUGAAUCAACUUCAAACAACGCAACAGUGAAUUCUUGUCCCAGCAAGAAAGGAAUGAUCCUCCCUUUUACACCUCUCUCCCUCACAUUCGAAGAUAUAAGAUACAGUGUAGACAUGCCAGAGGUAUUCUUUUUUAAUGGAAAUACUAUUAAAAUUACAAUAUUUCCUACAUAUGCAUGCUCACUGUGCAAAUUGACCUAUGUAUAUACCAUCAUACCUAAUGGCUUAUCCGAUAAAAUGCAGGAAGUCAAAGCACAAGGUGUGAAAGAGGACCGAUUGGAACUAUUGAAGGGUAUCAGUGGUUCAUUUAGGCCAGGUGUGCUUACAGCUCUCAUGGGUGUCAGUGGUGCCGGUAAGACCACACUGAUGGAUGUGCUGGCUGGGAGGAAGACCAGUGGAUACGUAGAAGGCAACAUUACAAUAUCUGGCUACCCAAAGAAGCAAGAAACUUUUGCUCGUGUGUCAGGAUACUGUGAGCAGAAUGAUAUCCAUUCACCAAAUGUGACCGUCUACGAGUCCCUUGCAUUCUCUGCAUGGCUACGAUUACCAGCUGAUGUUGAUUCCUCAACAAGAAAGGUUUGCAAAGAACAAAGACUCUACUAUAAUUUGAAUAGUAAUACAUCACAUAAUAAGCAUAUAUCAUAAAAGAACGCGAUGAGAUUAAUUAAUCAGUCUUUUCUCCUUUUUAUACAGUUUAUUAUUUAAUUGUGUUCUGUACUAACUAAUUCAUCGCAUCACCUGGUACACAGAUGUUCAUCGAUGAGGUCAUGGAGCUUGUGGAGCUUUCCCCCUUAAAAGAUUCAUUGGUUGGACUACCUGGUGUGACUGGAUUAUCAACUGAGCAAAGGAAAAGAUUAACAAUUGCAGUGGAGCUGGUAGCUAACCCUUCUAUCAUUUUCAUGGAUGAACCGACAUCUGGACUUGAUGCAAGAGCUGCAGCCAUUGUCAUGAGGACAAUAAGGAAUACAGUGGAUACAGGAAGGACAGUAGUUUGCACAAUUCACCAACCAAGCAUCGACAUAUUUGAAUCUUUUGAUGAGGUACUAAAACCUUUUUUAUAGAAGAUAAGGCAGAACAACACAUUGGCAGUUAACUAUGUCUGCAGACACUUUUAACAACUAUAUCAUAUAUGUUCAUACGUGUCUAUGCAGCUCUUCCUGAUGAAACGAGGAGGUGAAGAGAUUUAUGUAGGUCCACUGGGACGCCAUUCGUGUGAAUUGAUUAAAUAUUUUGAGGUGAGUUGAGAGAGAGAAAACGUAUUGUAUGUUUCCAUAUGCAGUUUUAUACUGAACAAACAUGUCAUUUAACUGCUUCGCUUUGAUUCUACCAAGGCUAUUGAAGGUGUGAGCAAGAUUAAAGACAGCUAUAAUCCUUCAACAUGGAUGCUGGAAGUGACUAGUGCAGUACAAGAACAGAUAACUGGGAUCAACUUCAGCCAAGUAUACAAGAAUUCUGAACUAUAUGGGUAGGUUUCUGGUGGCAUUAUUGUCCGUAGUUUAAAAUCUAAUCAAUUACUCAAAAAAUGCGGACAUUUCUAUUUUCGAUUUAAGACCUUAUCUUAAUAUUUUUUCAAUUUUGGUUGUGUUUCAGGAUGAACAAAAAUUUAAUAAAGGAGCUAAGCACACCCCCUGAAGGUUCAAAUGACCUAUCCUUUCCAACGCAGUACUCGCAGACCUUCCUCACACAAUGUUUCGCUUGCCUGUGGAAGCAAAGUCAGUCAUAUUGGAGAAAUCCCCCAUAUACUGCUGUCAAGUACUUCUACACCGUAGUAAUGGCACUGUUGUUUGGAACAAUGUUCUGGGGCAUUGGCAGGAAAAGGUACUAAUAUAUACAAAAGCGAAGCAGUUUCACUCUUGCAGUUUGACUCCAGUCCCCACAUAUCGAAAUUAACCGGGGAUAUUUCACUCUUGCAGGCAGAGUCAACAGGACUUGUUCAAUGCCAUGGGUUCCAUGUACGCCUCAGUUUUGUACAUGGGGGUACAGAAUUCCGCGACAGUUCAGCCAGUUGUGGCUGUUGAGCGCACUGUCUUUUAUAGGGAAAGAGCGGCUCACAUGUACUCGCCUUUGCCAUAUGCAUUGGGGCAGGUAGAGUUUACUUCGCAUAAACUUUAUUAUUUGGUCACUUUAUGUAUAUGCUAAAAAAAACAAGAAUACAAAUCAGAUGCAAGAAUGCACAUAGGAGGCCUUGCUAAAAUGUUUAAGAUCAGAUUUUAUUCACAGAAAAGAUAUGAUGGUUGCACCAAUGCCCUUAUAAAGUGGAAUGAAAUAAAAGAACAGAAGUCGCUUAACAUCUAUUUCCAUUUGCAGGUUGCAAUAGAACUUCCAUACAUCUUUGUUCAGUCUUUAAUAUAUGGCGUCAUAGUGUAUGCCAUGAUUGGGUUCGAGUGGACAGCUGUGAAGUUGUUCUGGUACCUGUUCUUCAUGUUCUUCACCCUAUCAUACUACACAUUCUACGGGAUGAUGACGGUGGGCCUGACUCCAAACUACAACAUCGCUUCCGUUGUUUCCUCGGCAUUCUACACCAUGUGGAACCUUUUCUCGGGAUUUAUAAUUCCAAGAACUGUAAGUAUACUAGUAUCUGUUAUCAACAGUGAACGGACUUUGCUCCUUGUUUUCCCUAACAUACAUUCUAAUUGGCUACUUUAACUCUUUCUACAGAGAAUUCCAAUAUGGUGGAGAUGGUAUUACUGGCUCUGCCCUGUUUCGUGGACACUCUAUGGUCUGGUAGCUUCACAGUUCGGGGACGUUACCGAGAGGUUCGACAAUGGCAUGCUCGUGUCCGAGUUUGUCGAGGGCUACUUUGGUUACCAUCACGACUUCCUGUGGGCGGUCAGUCUGGUGGUUGCCUCGUUUGCAGUUCUCUUUGCUUUCCUCUUCGGACUCUCAAUCAAGCUAUUCAACUGGCAGAAGAGAUGAGUAACCAACUAACCAAAGAAGAUACAUCUGAGUUUGAUCCGAGGUCAUUGUUGUUUGUAUAGUAGUGAAGUGAAAAUUAAUACUAGCGGGUAGAUCUGAGGAUGUGGAACUUCAAUUGUACAGCCGAGCCGAUAACUCCUAGAAACGCAACAGCAAGUUCAGGUUUUGCUAUAAUUGAAACUGAAUGAAUUGUGUUUUUGGCAGACGAACUAUUUGGUCAAGAAGCUAUGAAUAUCUCACAGAACUGUUUAACACAAUAUCAUCAAAUCUCAACUAGCAUCUGCUUCUUACUCCUUUGGGAAUAUAAAGGGAGAAUUUGAUUUGCAGCACUAACCAAGUAAUUGUCGAAAAUCUUCUACUUGGUCUCCCUCCCUGUUCUUCACAAGCGCCCGCCCAAUCCUAGGCAU